rnacentral:misc_RNA from 1 species
UAUGAAAUAAACCUCAAAAUUGAGGACAGUAGGUGAAAGCCCAAACGUGGAUGGACUAGUUAUCUCUGGCAGAUUUCCGGUACAAUACUGCGCACCAUUCCACUAUAUGGUGUUCCUCCACCAUUUUCUGUCCCUCUUAUCCUUGGUGAUUUUAAUGUAGCUGCGGUUGAUAUAUACAAUCGUAAUAAGAAAGCUACCAUUUCUCUUCUUAAGCACCAUCUCACCAAGGCAAUGAACUGAAUGAAGCAACAAGCAAUCGCCAUCGGUAUGAUAGAACUUUUGAGAUCGGAGAAAUGGUGUUUAUAA